GGAAGAGGCUCUGGGCCUUCAGUCCCACUGUGGCACCCUGUGCUGGAUGUUGCUUUUGUAGGAAAUGAGACUUUACUUGCACCAACUGUCUCUUUAGAGCCACCUGUUUUAGUCAGUGUGUGAGGGAUGGAGAUGGAUAGGGUGUCUAACAUGGCACAAGUGGGACACACUGGCACCUUCACUGCUAGACCAAGCCCUAAGUAUGUGCAUUGUUUGAAUAACCUGCAAGGGCUAGAAGAGGAAAACAGCCUUAAGUUCUCUGCAAUCCAGGAUGGAUGAAAUGGUC